GAUGAACGCUAGCUACAGGCUUAACACAUGCAAGUCGAGGGGUAACGAGAGGAAAGCUUGCUUUCCUUGUCGACGACCGGCGCACGGGUGAGUAACGCGUAUCCAACCUGCCCACAACUAGGGAAUAACCUUGCGAAAGUAAGACUAAUACCCUAUAAUUUCCUCAGAUGUCAUCUGACGAGGAAUAAAGAUUUAUCGGUUGUGGAUGGGGAUUCGUCUGAUUAGCUUGUUGGCGGGGUAACGGCCCACCAAGGCAACGAUCAGUAUGGGUUCUGAGAUGAAGGUCCCCCACAUUGGAACUGAGACACGGUCCAAACUCCUACGGGAGGCAGCAGUGAGGAAUAUUGGUCAAUGGGCGGAAGCCUGAACCAGCCAAGUAGCGUGCAGGAUGACGGCCCUAUGGGUUGUAAACUGCUUUUAUACAGGAAUAAAGUUAGCCACGUGUGGUUAUUUGUAGGUACUGUAUGAAUAAGGACCGGCUAAUUCCGUGCCAGCAGCCGCGGUAA
rnacentral:rRNA from 1 species